rnacentral:lncRNA from 1 species
CAGAGAAGCUCCACCGGUCCAGCUCAGCCGGAUGAAAUCCCAGCCCGCCCUAAAAGCCCAGCUCAAAUCACAGCAGCACAGGCCAGGGAGGUGCACGCACCUCCUUCUGUCUUGCUUCACCUUCGUCCGGGCACCCGUCUGCUCCCCGCAAGGCGCAGUGUGUGUCCCUGAACACAGAGCGACCCCGGCUUUGCACACACUUCCUGGCUGUGCGAUCCUGGCAAGAGAGGGAACAUUUCGAAGGAGCCAGAAGACCCGUGAGGGAGAAUGACCGUGAGAGAGCGUCUUGAGCUGUGAACUGGCUCACCUCCGGGAGGAAGGGCUCCAACCCAAACGCGGGAGAACGUACUCGCACAAGUUUGGAUAAACAGCAGCAGUGUUCACGUGGCUGGUGGUACCUGAGGUAAUUUGCAUUUACCCCAGACAAAAAUGUCUUUGCUAGUUUUUCUCUCUUUCCUUCCAUCCAACAAAUAGUUAUCGCAAACCAACUUUCAUGCUUAGGGUUGGGCUAGACACUGUAGAAAGAUACAGAGAGUGUAAAAAAAUCACUGCAUUAAAUUGAGGGGUGAUGGCGGCUACGCCCCCUUUGGCUGGGUUCCCUUCACAGGCCCCUGUGCCUUCUGAGCUUCGGUCUCCUGGACUCGGAUGUAACAGGCAUUCUCACCACCUCUGGGUGAAGGCCUUUUCUCUACACUUUUGGGGUCUUCGGGGCCUUUAAACCUUGGGGAUAGCGUUGGCCAGGGGCCAGGUUCACCGUGCUGUGCCUCGGGCCAGGGGUUCAUCCAGCAUAGAGUCUCCGGUCCUGUUUCUCAGGGAGGGCCCUGGUUCUUCGGCUGCGCUGACCCCCUGGUUUGAGGUCCCCCUGAGACUGCUGGGGAGGCUCUCCAGGCCCCAGGACGGGGCUCGUCACCUCUUAGGCAAAAAAUUCAAACAAUUUGUCUGGAUUCAGUCAAGACCUUUCUCAAAGCCAAGGACAAGUGGGGCAAUGGAGCCCCAGACCAUCCACAGGGCAGGGGUUUGGCGGGGGAGGAAGAGAGGGCUGAGGACAAGCUUAAGGGGCUUGCUGAGGAGAGGAAGGAAAGAAGGGGUGGUCCAGCUCUUAGCAAUGAUUUUUUUUUUUUUUUUUUUUUUUUUUUGCAGCAGGUAACUUCAAAGUGGUACUGGGAAAAACGAGACUACGAGAAGGUUUUUAGGGGCAAAGUUGGGACGGGAUUUAUGUGGAAGAAGAGGGCCAAAAGGUGCUCAUUUUCUGGAAGGCAAAAUUCCCAUCU